UUAGAGUCUGCCUGACACAGAAGUCACAUUGCUUCCUGCCCUCAGCCCCCGGGUACAUAGUUGUAUAUUCUUCGUUGUGGGUCCUCCUAGUUGUGGCAUGUGGGAUGCCGCCUCAGCGUGGUUUGAUGAGCGGUGCCAUGUCCGUGCCCUGGAUGCGAACCAACGAAACACUGGGCCGCCUGCAGCGGAGCGCGCGAACUUAACACUCGGCCACUGGGCCAGCCCACCGUUAUCUUCUUUUGAGGACAGCUGUUGUGGCGCCCUGGCCAUCCCAAAAGCUCCAGCAUUCCAUUUCAAGGAUCUCUUGCUGGCUUCCCUCCUACCAUCAUUCCUCUGAGAGAACGUGGCCUUGAGAACAAGGAGUGGAGAGCUGCCAGCUACUGCCACCUGACACAGAGCCUCAUUGCCCUUGCCUGUCUCCUUCCCCUGUCCAUCUUCAGUGUAGGGUCAAGAAGUGGGUCACUCCUUCCUUUUAUCCGAGGU
rnacentral:lncRNA from 1 species